rnacentral:rRNA from 1 species
UACGUAGGGUCCGAGCGUUGUCCGGAAUUAUUGGGCGUAAAGGGCUCGUAGGCGGUCUGUUGCGUCGGGAGUGAAAAACUUACAGCUUAACUGUGAGCGUGCUUUCGAUACGGGCAGACUUGAGGCAUUCAGGGGAGAACGGAAUUCCUGGUGUAGCGGUGAAAUGCGCAGAUAUCAGGAGGAACACCGGUGGCGAAGGCGGUUCUCUGGGCCGAUAUUGACGCUGAGGAGCGAAAGCGUGGGGAGCGAACAGG